GCACAGGUGCUGCAUGGCUGUCGUCAGCUCGUGUCGUGAGAUGUUGGGUUAAGUCCCGCAACGAGCGCAACCCUUAUCCCUAGUUGCCAUCAGGUAAAGCUGGGAACUCUGGGGAGACUGCCGGUGAUAAACCGGAGGAAGGCGGGGAUGACGUCAAGUCCUCAUGGCCCUUACAUCCCGGGCUACACACGUGCUACAAUGGCAGGUACAGAGGGCUGCGAAGCCGCGAGGUGGAGCGAAUCCCAGAAAACCUGUCUCAGUCCGGAUUGAAGUCUGCAACUCGACUUCAUGAAGGCGGAAUCGCUAGUAACCGCGAAUCAGCAGGUCGCGGUGAAUACGUUCCCGGGUCUU
rnacentral:rRNA from 1 species